AAGUCGUAACAAGGUAACCGUAGGUGAACCUGCGGUUGGAUCAUUAUUGAUACAACGGUCUUGGAGUCCUCCUCGGAGUUGAUUCCUCGACCUUACCCACCCCAUGUGCACUGUAAAUGUUUUUUGGGAUCAUUAUUUAUAGUGGUCCCAGCAGUAUAUAAACUCUAUUUAAUUUGUCUGAAAUGAAACCAAGAAUCGUAACAACUUUUGACAACGGAUCUCUUGGCUCUC
rnacentral:misc_RNA from 1 species